UUGGGGUCCUUUGGGCUGGUUAAUUCCAAGUGAAAUAUUCCCACUCGAGACGAGAACUGCUGGAUUUUUCUUUGCUGUUAGCGUGAACAUGAUUUUCACCUUCUUGAUUGCUCAAGCUUUUCUCACAAUGCUGUGCCAUAUGAAAUCCGGGAUCUUCUUUUUCUUUGCUGCAUGGAUUGUUAUAAUGGGAUGUUGGGCUGUGUUCUUUCUGCCAGAAACUAAGGGAAUCCCCAUUGAUGAAAUGAAUGAGAGAGCUUGGAAAAAACACUGGUUUUGGAAGAAAUAUUUCAAUUCUGAUGAUGAAGCUAUUAAGCCUGUGGGAGAUAAAGCAUCUACUGAAGGGAAGGCUUGAUCUAUAUAUGCAUGUUCUCAAGAGUCAGUCUUGUUAAUUUUUUAGUUUUUUAUUUUUUUCAUGACUGUCUUAUUAAUUAAUUCGAAUCACUCUUUACAAUUUAUUAUCUGAAUUUCUACUUCAAAAUUGUUAUAAAUUGUUAAAUUGGAAGUUGGUUUUCGAAGGCAUGCAGAUUUUUACCCCUUCUAUAUCGCUCAAGUAGUUAAAUUGGACGUCAGUUAGUUGGACUUAAUGUUAAUCUUGUUGUGGGAAUAUAUUGACGAGAAGUAUUCAAUUCAACCUGAGGACAAAACCGAUCUCACUAUAUCCUGGAUUUUUGGGUUCGUGAUCACUAAGGAGUCUCGCUUCUUUCGAAUAUCUUCAUGGAUAUGAUUAAAAGCAUUUCUUGCUAAACUUUGACCGAAAUUAGGACCUUCCCUUUCCUUUGACCAAUGGUUCCUCCAACCAAUUUGUCCGUCCUUUCUAUUUCUCGAUAAGUGGUCACGCUCUUUUGGGUACAUACGUAUAAUCUUAGUCUUUGUUUGAUUCUUUGGAAUGAUUUUCGGGAUAAAAUAUCAGAAUAUUGUCCAAGAAUAUAGAAAAUCAAUCGGACAACCGAAAGUUUGAGGUCCUCGUUUUAAUUUAUGUGGUUAAUAUUAUGAUAAAAAUCAGAAUAAAGUGGCAUACGGUGCUUUCGGGUGCAACAUGCACAUAUGGUGUUCUUUUUCUAUAAAGAAAUUGCCUAGUCUUGUCAUUUCCAAGUGAAAAGCUACCUAUGUUCAUAUUGCCUCCUUGAACGUACGUACGUACGUACUUUUUUUUUUUCUUUUUUUUUUCUGGGACGAGGGAUUCCCAGUAAGUGCGAACGGUAUAUAACAUGUUAUCUAUUUUCAGGAGGAGUUACAUCCAUGGAUGAUUUCUUGUUGAAGUUCUUUCCAGUUGUGUACACGAAGAAGCACAGAGCAAAAGAGAAUAACUACUGCAAAUAUGACAAUCAACUUCUUCAAUUAUUCACUUCAAGUUUGUACCUUGCGGCUGUGGUUUGCUGUUUCUUUGCAUCAAAAUGUUGCAAGAAGUUUGGAAGAAAACCUACCAUGCAAUUGGCAGCCUUUUUCUUCUUUAUCGGUGUUAUUCUCGAUGCCGCGGCAAUGAAUCUUCCGAUGCUCAUUGUUGGACGGCUUUGUUUGGGUGCAGGUGUUGGAUUUGGAAACCAGGUAUUGAUUAACUGUGAUAUAAAUCAUAUAAUAUAUAUGUAUCUAUAUGUCAUGUCUUUUUCAAGUGAUCUGAAACUUUUUUCCACAACAUCUGGAUGUAUUUUAUGGCUGCAUUAGGAUUUUUUUUUUUUUUUAAUUAGUCGUCAACAAGGUUAAAAUAUAAAAUCUUAAAAUACACUAAGGCCCCGUUUGAUUGCACGAAAUUUUCCAUGGAACUUGGAAUUCGAAUUCCAACUUCCACUUUUGGCCUGUUUGUGAAACUUUUUUCCACAACAUCUGGAUGUAUUUUAUGGCUGCAUUCGGAUUUUUUUUUUUUUAAUCUGUUUUUCUGAUUCCUGUAUACUAUGUGGAUAUCAUUAGGAUUUUGAGAAAGUUAUUUUAUGUAUUUUUUUUAAAGAUACUCACAUUAUAUUAGCAUUUAAUUUCAUUGAAGUUAUUCAAUAGAAAUAACUAUUACAGUCAAUUAUUUGUCAAGAUGAUCGAUACAUUUACCAUCUUGUCCAAAAUUUUAGACGAGAUGAUUAAGCCCUCAUUGAAUUAAAUUUCAUUUUUAUCUCUCUUAUUUUCAAUCACACAAUUUUCUAUAAAAUAAUAUUGCAUGUAAAUCGAAAACUUUUCCUUCUUUUUCAAUCAUUCAUUUUUCAAAAAAAUAUUAUUCCACCCAUUAUAAUUUGAAAUAAUGGGGGCAAAACGGGGCUAAGAUUUAUUCAUUCCAUAUCAUGUUCUUUCAAGUUUUUCCUAAGUUUGUUGUUCUUUUACGUAUACUUUUGUAUGUCGAAGGAUGGGUAUUGCCCGAGUGACGGAAUGGCAACUACCCUGCAACAUUUUGAAUUUUUUUUUUUUAAACUAAGUAGAAAUUUUGAAAUUUUUGGUUAAUAUGUACAUAAUAUGUGUAUUUUUUUUGUCCCUUCAACAAACUGAAUUUCAGGCAGUGCCACUUUUCAUAUCAGAAAUUGCUCCACCAAAGUACAGGGGAGGCCUUAACAUUUGUUUUCAGAUGUUGAUCACAUUGGGAAUUUUGUGUGCCAACAUUGUGAACUAUUUUACUUCCAAAUUGCAUCCUUAUGGUUGGAGAAUCUCUCUUGGUGGUGCUGCAGUACCAGCAAUUAUCCUCGGCUUGGGCUCUCUUAUCAUAGUCGAGACACCUACAAGCCUAAUCGAACGUGGUAAAAAACAAGAAGGUCUAAAAGCUCUAAAGAAAAUCCGGGGAGUAGAAGAUGUCCAAAAGGAGUAUGACGAGAUUCUACAAGCGACUGAAGUCGCUAAAAAGAUCGAUCACCCUUUUAGAAACCUAAUGAAACGGUCGAGUAGGCCUCAACUUAUCUGUGGUACUAUUUUACAAGUUUUUCAGCAGUUCACCGGAAUCAAUGUGAUCAUGUUUUACGCCCCGGUUUUGUUCCAAACCAUGGGGUUGGGAGGAGAUGCAUCUCUAUUGUCAUCUGUAGUGACUGGUUCAAUCAAUUCAGCAUCCACAUUGGUUGCAAUUUUUGGUGUGGAUAUAUUUGGAAGAAGGGCUUUACUUAUUGAAGCAGCCAUUCAAAUGCUUAUUUCUCAGGUUUGUGACAUGUUAAGUAAUUAGGGCUCGAUUGGUGUUGAUUUUAUUUUUCCUUUCUGUAGAAGAAUUUUUUAGAGGAAAUUACCUUAAUAUUUGUUUGAAAACUAAUUUUCAAAAGAGUUUUCUAUUUCAAAAGUACUUUAAAAGGAAACCACGUUGGAUUAGCUUUCUUUAAAAAUUCUUCUAACUAAAACAAGUACUUUUAUAAAAUUAGCUGUCCAAAAACUCCUUAUGUAUCUCAAAAGCUCUUUUUGACUUUUCUAGAGUCAUGCUAGACAGACUCUUAAUACAGUUUGUUUUCUUUAAGGAUGCUAUAAUACAUUGUUGUUUUUUUGCAGGUUAUUACAGGAGUAAUGCUUGAAGAGCAUCUCAAAGCAACAAACUCUAUAUCAAAAGUUUAUGCAUACAUAGUGGUGGUGUUGAUCUGCGUUUUCGUGUCUGGUUUCGCAUGGUCUUGGGGUCCUUUGGGCUGGUUAAUUCCAAGUGAAAUAUUCCCACUCGAGACGAGAACUGCUGGAUUUUUCUUUGCUGUUAGCGUGAACAUGAUUUUCACCUUCUUGAUUGCUCAAGCUUUUCUCACAAUGCUGUGCCAUAUGAAAUCCGGGAUCUUCUUUUUCUUUGCUGCAUGGAUUGUUAUAAUGGGAUGUUGGGCU
rnacentral:lncRNA from 1 species